GUUCGUCUAAUUUAUGUUUCGAUAAAGAAACACAUCGAAUCCAAUCUACUUCCGCCAGCGAUCGCUAACAUCCCCUUUCAAGUGGGAAACGAAGAGUGAAGUUGGAACGUAGACAAAUUAGAUUAGAGAAUCGCAUGGAAAAUGUUUCCCCCAAGUUCGCGGCUCUCGCAGGUAUUCCCGUUAAUCGAGUUCCCGUAGCGCUUAGAAACGAUCGGUUCUAAGGUAUUUUUAGUCGCAAAAUUUCAACGACGAUUGGGGAGAUAUACAGGAUGGAGGAUUUAAUGUAAUUACUACUCUGCGGAUUUUUGUGCAUUUAUAGAUAAUCUGAACGCGCAAGAAACUAUAGAAUGGACACAGUAACGCAUAAUGCUUGCAAAGUAAAGUAAAUUCCUAUUUAGGUUCAGUUUUUGUAGGCACGUUUACAAAGAUUUUAUUUUUGAUAAUGUCGAGCACAUUAAUAUUUGAUUCGAUUUAAUUAUUUAAUGAUUUGUUUUCCAUUCGGAGUGGAAUAAUCGUUUGUACGUAUAUCGGGAAAGUUUAUUUGAAAAUAUAAUAAUUGGAGAGCCACUCGAGUGGCUUCGCCGAUCAAGGCAUGCCACUCGAUGUAAUUCGAACAUCCGAUAAGAAUAUUACCGUAGAGUAUUUUCUUCGUGCUCGACAUUUUGUAAUUACUAGACCGCGGAUCAUUAUGCAAAAUAAAAUCUUUGUAAACGUGCCUACAAAAACUGAACUUAAAUAAGAAUUUAUUUUACUCUGCAAGGAUUAUAAUAUGAACUUUACUUUCAAUAUUGCACGUUCAGAUUUUCUAUAAAUGCACAAAAAUCCGCAGUUUAGUAAUCACAUUAAAGUAAUUGGAGAGAAAAUAAUUGGAGAGUUGCUUUCAACGAUCGGUUACCCAUUACUCGAGUAUCCUACUCGCCACUAUCGUUACGCUAUACGAUUUACUCUUGCCAAUGGAACGAUCGCACAGUCCACGACAACGCUUUGCCAGCUGUUCCAACUAUUCUUCUUUAUAUCAAGUACCUCGUCGCUAUAAUUGAGUCUAGACCGCUGAUUUUUACGCAUUUAUAGGGAAUUUGAAUGCGCAAGAAAUUAAACAAUACACAGAAUUCAAUUUCCUUAGGUACAUUUGCAAAGAAUUGUUGCAUAAAGAUCCGUAGUCUUAAUAAUAACAAACGAGAUUAUCGCGAGGCUACCUCGAGUAGUAAUUCAAUCAAACUUUCGAGGGCUGCAACAGCUACGCGCUUUAAAGGGCGCGGUACACGACACCGUUUGCCUAACUAUAUAAACUCCAAAACUUGCCCCAUCGUUACGAAUAUCUGUGGCUAAGAGGCGAACUGUAUUAAAUCAAAAUUUUUGAAACUUUGGACAAAUAGAAAGGCAUUCGAAAGACAAGCAACCUGCCCCAUUCCCCAGCCCCGUGGGAUGGAGAGAACAUAGAAAAGUCCAACAAUCUGGAACCUAUUUCCUCUUAUCUUGGCGUGUUCACGCCUCUAGCAGUAUCUUGGACGACUAUCCCUUUAUCGAACACGAUGAAACAACCAACUAUCGUUUAAUUCGAAAGAGUAUCAAGUCUCACAUGGCCUCCACUAUACUCAUCCGUUUGUUGCAAAGAUUUCCUCGACUCCAAACAUCUCCCCGAGCAAUCGCGGAACGGAGCACCGGAAAGCACGUCAAGUUACAUUCGGUCAAGAUUCGAAGCAUCAGGUUGUAGUCACGUUCACCCCCUCUCUCCCUCUCGCUCUAUCCUAGGAACCUGCGUGGUGGUUCGUCGCGCCUCUCCAACGAAAACGCCAACAGACCGAGUCUCG